GCCGCUUUAGCUCAGUUGGUAGAGCACCUGAUUUGUAAUCAGGGGGUCGCAAGUUCGAGUCUUGCAAGCGGCACCA
rnacentral:tRNA from 1 species